rnacentral:misc_RNA from 1 species
GCUCCGUAGGUGAACCUGCGGAGGGAUCAUUACAGAGUUCAUGCCCUACCGGGUAGAUCUCCCACCCUAUGUUAUUAUUACUUUGUUGCUUUGGCGGGCCGUUAGGCUCCGGCCCGACUACCGGCCCCGGCUGGUAAGCGCCCGCCAGAGGACCCAAAACCCUGAAUAUUAGUGUUGUCUGAGUACUAUAUAAUAGUUAAAACUUUCAACAACGGAUCUCUUGGUUCUG